rnacentral:tRNA from 1 species
GGGGAAUUAGCUCAGUGGUAGAGCGCUUGCUUAGCAUUUCUGAUUGCAUGAGGCCGUGGGUUCAAUUCCCACAUUCUCCA